UGAUCCUGCCGGACCCCACUGCUAUCGGGAUGGGACUAANACAUGCUAGUCGUGCGUCUCCAAGCUAUGGCGGAGACGCGGCGCACAGCUCAGUAACACGUGGCUAACCUGCCCUUAGGACAGGGACAACCCCGGGAAACUGGGGAUAAUCCCUGAUAGGUGAGGACUCCUGGAAUGGAUCCUCGCUGAAAGGGCACCUAGACCAUGCUUCUAGGCGCUGCCCAAGGAUGGAGCCGCGGCCGAUCAGGUUGUUGGUGAGGUAACGGCUCACCAAGCCUUUAACCGGUACGGGCCGUGAGAGCGGGAGCCCGGAGAUGGGUACUGAGACAAGGACCCAGGCCCUACGGGGCGCAGCAGUCGCGAAAACUCCGCAAUACGCGAAAGCGUGACGGGGCUAUCCCGAGUGCCGUCCGCUGAGGAUGG
rnacentral:rRNA from 1 species